AUACUUACCUUACGUCGGGGCCUCAUUGAUCACCGAGUACGAGCCUCGAGGGCGAGGUGCGGGCAUUUCACUGCGCUCGCGUUGACCCCUGCCGCUACCGAAAACUGGGGCAGAUGGGGCAUGCAAAUUGCUUAAAGGGACCCUGC
rnacentral:snRNA from 1 species